UACGAAGGGGGCUAGCGUUGCUCGGAAUCACUGGGCGUAAAGGGUGCGUAGGCGGGUCUUUAAGUCAGGGGGGAAAUCCUGGAGCUCAACUCCAGAACUGCCCUUGAUACUGAAGAUCUUGAGUUCGGGAGAGGUGAGUGGAACUGCGAGUGUAGAGGUGAAAUUCGUAGAUAUUCGCAAGAACACCAGUGGCGAAGGCGGCUCACUGGCCCGAUACUGACGCUGAGGCACGAAAGCUAGGGGAGCAAACAGG
rnacentral:rRNA from 1 species